UAUUCUGAGUUUAAAUUUGCAGUUUUUUUUACAGAAAUAAACGAGUCUUUAGGGUAUACCUAAAAAAACUUUAUGUGUUUUGGUUUUAGGUUCAGGUCAGUUGUCCACUUCAGAACCUAGUACAAAAACAUUAAUAACCAAAAAAAGGCUCUUGGAAAAUGUUCAAGCAUCUAAUGAUUUAGAAAAGCCGGCCACUUCAGAGCCUAGUAGGGAAACAUCGUUAUUGCACAAUAUUCAAGCAUGGUAAGAUGAUCAGCCAUCCACCUCUAGGGGAUCAAUUCUAGAAUACAUUGACAACAGUGAUGAUAGUUUAAGGGAUAAAGAAAAUUCUUACGAAGAAAUCCGAAAUGUGUUUUUUGCUCAAGAUAACGAUCAGGACGAAACACAUAAUAAGAAUAAUGAUCAGGCUAUACAAAAUAAAGACGAAAAACGAAAAAUAAAAUCAAGAAAACGCAUAAGACAGAUUGACAACUGGCGAAGCACAAAAAGGUCAAAAGCAACUUUAAAAGGCGAACAACAUGUGACAAAAAAGGGAAAAACCAUUAUGGCAAAGGCACUUAAGUCACGCUGUGCACCUUGCAGAAGAAACUGUACCGAAAAAAUUCCUGAUGCUAUAAGACAACAGAUUUUCAAGGAAUACUGUGAAGAAAAGAAUUGGGACAUAAAAAGACAAUUUAUUCGUUCGCACGUUGAGUCAAAACACAUUGAACGUUGCAGACCCGAAGACAACAGUAAAAUUGGCAAAAAACAGACUAUUAACUACUUUUUUGAUGUGCAGUCGGAAGGUUUAACUAAAAAGAUUGAUGUAUGUAAAACCUAUUUUUUUGAACACUUCGGAAUUUUGGAAACCGUUGUUCGAAAUGUUUUACAAAAAUACACUGCCGGUGGCUUUGUUUCGAGGGAUAUGAGAGGGUGACAUGUGCCACCCAACAAACUACCAGAGGAAGUUCUUAAUGGAGUAAGAGCACAGAUAAAAUCCUUUCCAUCUUACGAAAGCCAUUAUUCUCGUGAAAAAAAGUAAAAGACAAUAUUUAGGGCCAGAACUAAGCAGAGAAAAAAUGUACAAGUUAUAUUUAGCUAAAUGUGAAGAGAACCACAUUCCCAAACAUCAAAUAGCAAAGCUUUGGAUAUAUAAAAAAUGUUUUAAUAAAGAAUUUAAUUUAUCGUUUAAAAAACUUUCAGCUGAUACUUGCGAUAAAUGUGACAGCUUUAUCUUAAGACUUAAAGACUCCCAAAGUAGUGAGAAAACAGUUAUCCACGAAGAAUAUGAAAAUCAUUUGAAGGAAGUAGAUUCGCGAUACAAAAUCAAGAAAAAUGACAAGAAGAGAGCAAGAAUUCAAAUGACAGUAUUAAGGUUAUAAUGCUAGAUCUUCAAAAAUGUCUUCCCACCCCGUACCUAUCAAAUAAUCAAAGCUUCUAUUACUUAAAGCUGUGGACUUUAAACCUGACUAUUUAUGACUCAAAUACAAAUUUUUACUGAGGGGUCAUACACACAUGGAAGCUGAUCACGUACACGCUCUUAUUGAAAGGACUUUAAAAAAGCAACCAACCAUGGAAAUAUGUACUCCUUGGAACUGGCAACAAUUAAUAAGAUCCACAGGCGCAACUGUUAUAAAACUACAUUAUUCUGAUUUUAAACAUGUUGACUAUUGGUAUGGUCAACCUAACUCUCCUUUUAUUAAUAAGAAGAAAAAUACUGAAAAAGCAAGACUUUUGAUAUCUAAAGUUGUAUAUUUUCAAAUUAAAGCUGAUCGUCCUAGCACUAUAUUUUACAAACUGAAAUUUAACGAUGAAGAGUUUAAAACUUUAAAUGUGACCAGAUCUGUUCGAAAUCCAAUGCCACUGCCUAAUGAAUUGCCUAGUCUGCGCAGUAACUUAAAGGGAAUAAGAAAGAAAAAACAUGAUAUUUUAAUAAAAAGUUUGGAGUGGGUUCCUAAGCAAUUUCAUAAUUUUCUUAAAAAAUCUUCCAAUUUCUAAAGCAAAAGGCCAACAUAGUUCCGAUGAAGAAGAUAGCGAUUGAUUUUUUAUCUUCUAUGAA